rnacentral:rRNA from 1 species
AUUGAACGCUGGCGGCAGGCCUAACACAUGCAAGUCGAGCGAGCGGCGGACGGGUGAGUAAUGUCUGGGAAACUGCCUGAUGGAGGGGGAUAACUACUGGAAACGGUAGCUAAUACCGCAUACCAUCAGAUGUGCCCAGAUGGGAUUAGCUCGUGGGUGGGGUAACGGCUCACCUAGGCGACGAUCCCUAACUGGGCUGAGAGGAGGACCAGCCACACUGGAACUGAGAAACGGUCCAGACUCCUACGGGAGGCAGCAGUGGGGAAUAUUGCACAAUGGGCGAAAGCCUGAUGCAGCCAUGCCGCGGGUGUGAAGAAGGCCUUCGGGUGGUAAAGCACUUUCAGCGGGGAGGCGUUACCCGCAGAAGAAGAACCGGCUAACUCCGUGCCAGCAGCCGCGGUAAUAC